GACAGAAGCCAGCACGUUGAAUGCACCAGUUCCCCAGGGAACACUGAAGUUAAGCAACGUUGCCCGUGGUUACCCGGAUGGGUGACCAUCGGGCAAUCACGUGCUGCUUUUU
rnacentral:rRNA from 1 species